GACGAACGCUGGCGGCGUGCUUAACACAUGCAAGUCGAACGGAAAGGCCCUGCCUUUGUGGGGUGCUCGAGUGGCGAACGGGUGAGUAACACGUGAGUAACCUGCCCUUGACGUUGGGAUAACUUCAGGAAACUGGGGCUAAUACCGGAUAGGAGCUCCUGCUGCAGGGUGGGGGUUGGAAAGUUUCGGCGGUUGGGGAUGGACUCGCGGCUUAUCAGCUUGGUGGUGGGGGAGUGGCUUACCAAGGCUUUGACGGGUCGCCGGCCUGAGAGGGUGACCGGCCACCUUGGGACUGAGAUACGGCCCAGCCUCCUACGUGAGGCAGCAGUGGGGAAUCUUGCACAAUGGGCGGAAGCCUGAUGCAGCAACGCCGCGUGCGGGAUGCCGGCCUUCGGGUUGUAAACCGCUUUCGCCUGUGACGAAGCGUGGGUGACGGUAAUGUGUAAAGAAGCACCGGCUAACUACGUG
rnacentral:rRNA from 1 species